rnacentral:lncRNA from 1 species
AUGUUAGCAUUGUAAUCCAAAAUAGGUAUCCUUAGACCAUGAUCAGUUGGAAGUUUUGUGACAUCAAAUUCCACAUCAUUCGAUACCCCUCAUCAAUAUUAUCUACGUUCCUUUUUCGUUGAAAGUAUCUAUUCAUUUCAUAUCUGAAUUUAAACAUUUGAUAUCCAAUUAUUACUGGGAGUGAGUGAGAAUAAUUCAUAACGACAAAAGAAUCAUAAAUUCACAAUUUCACAAUCUCAAUUCGCAGUGCAAUUCACAUCUCAAGUUGUUACAACCAAUAUUAAUACAAGUUGAAUUCGGAAUACGAAUAAAAAAUGUGAAGGAAAAAAAUCUACACAUUUAAAAUUUCCAUUAAAAUAUCAACAAUGUUAAAGGGAAGUAUUCAUUUUGGAGUAAAAUUGAUGACUUGAAAUCAAGCUUUUAUUUGGGUCAAACAAUUAAAGGCAUCAAACCAGUUGACAAAUGAUGAAACACACAAGACAGUAGGCUGACAAAUAAAAUACCUCUGUUAAAAAGGAGUUUAUGUUGCAAAAUGUCAUGAAUUGGAUAGCAGUACAUGCUCCAUCCGGAUCAACUGCAUAAACAGUGAAAAUAAUGCUCCAUCCAAAUCAACUGCAUAAAAUUUUCGACAAUCAAAUAAACAUGAAGGUCGAGCUUCAUUUUUUAAGCCAAAAACAGUGAAUUCAAUGAACCAUAACUUCUAAAUUGAACAAUAACUUCUAAACUGAAUUGAACAAUCUUCUUGAGAAAAGAUUUUGCAAAAUUGGGAAAAACACUUAGAAUACUACAAUGCAGUGGAAAUAAUUUUAAAUUACAAAUCGAAACACUCAAACACGGCCAAAUUAUUAUUCAAAUAAACGUGUUCCAUUUCAUUCGUUUCAUCUGGAAAUAAUUCUGUCCAGCGGCUCCAGCCAGUCCAGGAAAUCAAUGACAAUAAAUAAAAGCUUCAUAGACAUAAAGGACACAUUUUUUUACACUAGUAGUCGAACAAUUCAUGAAAUAUUACCUUCAUCGAUGCAAAACGGCAGUUCAGUUGCGGCGGCCUGCGGACUUGGGUGGGGGAAAAUUGGGGUUUCGAGUUUCGACUUUGGGGAUAUUUGAUACACUAAUCCAGGAGAUGCGGCCACCGGUGGAGGACUGGAAGUAGAAGUAGC